rnacentral:rRNA from 1 species
GACAGAGGUGCCAAGCGUUAGGCGGAAUCACUGGGCUUAAAGCGUGUGUAGGCGGAAUUGUAAGUACCUUGUGAAAUCCCACGGCUCAACCGUGGAACUGCUCGGUAUACUGCUUUUCUUGAGCCACUUAGGGGCUGUCGGAACAAACGGUGGAGCGGUGAAAUGCGCAGAUAUCAGGAGGAACACCGAUGGCGAAGGCAGGUCUCUGGGCCGAUACUGACGCUGAGGAGCGAAAGCGUGGGGAGCGAACAGG